CCUACGGGAGGCAGCAGUGAGGAAUAUUGGUCAAUGGGCGGGAGCCUGAACCAGCAAAGUCGCGUGAGGGAUGACGGCCCUAUGGGUUGUAAACCUCUUUUGCCGGGGAGCAAAGUGCCGCACGUGUUCUGUUUGGAGUGUACCCGGUGAAAAAGCAUCGGCAAACACCGGUCCAGCCGCCGCUGUAAUACGGAGGAUGCGAGCGUUAUCCGGAUUUAUGGGGGUUAAAUGGUGCGUGGGCGGACGCUUAAGUCAGCGGUAAAAUUGCGGGGCUAAACCUCGUAGUGCCGGUGAAACUGGGGGCCUUGAGUGGGCGAGAGGUACGCGGAAUGCGUGGUGUAGCGGGGAAA
rnacentral:rRNA from 1 species